rnacentral:rRNA from 1 species
UACGUAGGGUGCAAGCGUUGUCCGGAUUUAUUGGGCGUAAAGUGUUCGUAGGCGGUAAAGUAAGUUAUUUUUCAAAUCCCGAGGCUCAACUUCGGAAAGGGGAAUAAUACUGCUUUACUUUGGAUAGUUCAGGGGCUACUGGAACUUAUCAUGUAGGAGUGAAAUCCGUUGAUAUGAUAAGGAACACCGAGGGCGAAGGCAGGUAGCUGGGGACUUAUCAACGCUGAGGGACGAAAGCCAGGGGAGCAAAACGGAUUAGAUACCCCUGUA